GUAAAAUGACAAGCAUAUGCCUGAACUCAAAAAAGUGAUGUCAUCUUAACUACUGAGAAGUGGGCGGGGAGUACUCGAGGCUUUUUAAUGGUUGUUCUUAAGUACAUUAAAUGCCUCCCUUUUCUGUCUUCAGCUCAUCACCAAUCCUAAGGAAUUCAAGUGCCUCCCAGGAUGAAUACAGGUUGUCUUGAUGGUGAUACAUUCAUCUGUCUUAAGAUCCCUGCUGAUCUGCUCAUGGUCAAACUCCUGGAAAGAGUUGAGAGUGGUGAGUACUUGUAACCUUGGUUGUAACUUGUCUCCAGUGCCAGUGAGGAGAGCAAGCAUCCUGUCUUAACCCCUGUCCUAGCCCCAGAGCCAGAAAUGGUGAACCCACUGGGGCUAACAGGGAGAGAGGAUGAAAACAUGUUCCGUAAGGAACUGUCUGAGGUACAGCAACUGCCAAUGGGUAGCAUUCGUUUAGCUUCCCUUGGCUUACAUAUUAGCUGGGAUCCUUUUGGUUUUUUAAGGUACUCUACUGAUUUCAUGAUCUUCUCAUUCAGGGGCACCUUGUUCCUGCAUCCUCAAAGGAGCAUCUUGUUCCUCCAUUUAAGCUUCCAGAGUUAAAAGGUUAGUUGAUUAAUGUCACCAUAAUAUAUGCCACCAAGUAAGCAGUUUCUGUGAUGAAUCAAACUAGCUCACUAUGAACUAACAAUGAAAAGAUAUGAACACCUGAGAAACUGGAGAACAGAGCAGUGGGAUACUGUCUGCUAGGAACUUAAUAUCACUUACAGUUUUGUCCUUUCCUAGGUACCUGUACCAUUUAGCGGCUUGUUCACUCAAAGGUGAGUGAUUUAUAUGUUGGUGCAUACCGUGUACUGAGGGAGAAAAUGCCUUUUUAGGCAUCUACACAUGAUGACUUACAUGGAAUCUCGUUCGGCUGAUGAUUUGCUGUUGAGACUCGGAAAUCUGAUUUUUUUUUUCUUUUAAGAACUUAAGUGGGAACAAAUUUUAAUGUAGGAAGUAAGCAUUACUGACUCAUUCUUGUUUUGUUUUAGAUCCAUCUUGUCUGGAGCCUGAGGAUGAUUGGAGGUAAAUCUGUUUAUCUAUGGCUGCUAUGUAAAGUUUGCCAGUUUUUGUGUGGCACUUUGGAUAGUUGUGCAGGUAUUACUUAAUCCAAAGUCUGCCUUUGGCCAUUUGUGAACCACCUGAAACAGAUUUCUGCUCACAUGAUGAGUUCGAUACCGCCCCAGUCUGAUCACUAUGACUGAAAGGUAUUUUCUGAGCUGUGAGUUUGCCUUAGAGUGGGAAGUUAGUCUUUUAAUAAAAUGUCUGUUGAGACCUACACAGCCUAUUAGGGUGUCCCAUUCCUCUGGUAAUGGUUGACUUAGUUCCCAAUCUCUGUUUUGCAGGUGAAAGGUGUAAGCCAUACUCUGCUCAACUCCAGUCUGAAACUGAGGUUUAAAGAACACAUACUUAACACACGGGUGGGUAAGUAUCCAUUCACGUACUUGUGUUAAAUAUCAGACUAACUAUAUAAAUACAAAAGUACAUUAGAGCAGCCCUUUUAGUGUUAACUGGUUGAAAGGAUAGUAUGUUCUAAGUCCGUUUUAGUAACUAAGUCCGUUUUAGUAAGAACCCUAAACUGUUCUUUUUCUCUGCAGGAAUCCAACUCUUGGAGGACAUCAGAAGUGGAAUUUUCUUAUACAACCUACCUAUUCAAAUUAGCAUAUAAUCUUUCUAGCCUUUCUAAAUAAAUAAAGGGAUUUUUUUGUAAA
rnacentral:lncRNA from 1 species